rnacentral:rRNA from 1 species
AUGGCGACCUCACUCUCAUCCCACUCCCAGCUGCGCGCAUGCCCCUCCCACGCCCACCGCGCCACCGUGCUCUCCCGCUCCCUCCUCCCCUUCCCGCGCCGCCACCACGGCUCCUCCCGCCGCGGCCUCUCCGCCCGCUCCGCCUCCUCCAACGGCGCCGCACAGGACACCGCCGUCACCGUACGCCACUUCGCCGCGGAGCCCACCAAGGGCGGCAAGCUCGCCGGCGUCAAGAAGAUCAUGAUUCUCGGCGCGGGGCCUAUCGUCAUCGGCCAGGCGUGCGAGUUCGACUACUCCGGCACACAGGCCUGCAAGGCGCUCGUCGAGGAGGGAUACGAGGUGGUGCUCGUCAACUCCAACCCGGCCACCAUCAUGACCGACCCCGACCUCGCCCACCGCACUUACAUCGGGCCCAUGACCCCGCCGCUCGUCGAGGGCAUCAUCGCCAAUGAGCGCCCCGAUGCGCUCCUCCCCACCAUGGGCGGACAGACGGCGCUCAACCUCGCCGUCUCUCUCGCUGAAUCCGGCGCGCUCGAUCGGCUCGGUGUGCGCCUCAUCGGCGCUUCCCUCCCUGCUAUCCGCGCCGCCGAGGACCGCCAGCUCUUCAAGCAGGCCAUGGACCGCAUCGGACUCAAGACGCCCCCCUCUGGCAUCGGCACCACGCUUGAGGAGUGCCUCGCAAUCGCCAAGGACAUUGGUGAGUUCCCCCUCAUUGUCCGACCAGCUUUCACACUUGGUGGCACUGGGGGAGGCAUCGCCUAUAACAGGGCCGAGUUUGAGGACAUUUGCCGGUCUGGUCUGGCGGCUUCACACACGCAGCAGGUGCUUGUGGAGAAAUCCCUGCUCGGGUGGAAGGAGUACGAGCUGGAGGUGAUGCGUGACAUGGCUGACAAUGUGGUCAUCAUCUGCUCCAUUGAGAACAUCGACCCCAUGGGCGUGCAUACAGGUGAUUCGAUCACGGUAGCGCCUGCUCAGACGCUCACUGACAAGGAGUACCAGAGACUCAGGGACCAUUCGGUGGCCAUCAUCCGGGAGAUUGGUGUGGAAUGCGGUGGCUCCAAUGUGCAGUUCGCCGUUAACCCUGCGGAUGGGGAGGUCAUGGUGAUUGAGAUGAACCCCAGGGUUUCAAGGUCAUCAGCUCUUGCAUCAAAGGCGACUGGGUUCCCUAUAGCCAAGAUGGCAGCAAAACUCUCAGUAGGUUAUACGUUGGACCAGAUUCCAAAUGAUAUCACAAAGAAGACGCCUGCUAGCUUUGAGCCCUCCAUUGACUAUGUUGUCACAAAGAUACCGCGAUUUGCGUUCGAGAAAUUCCCUGGUUCUGAACCAAUAUUAACCACACAGAUGAAGUCUGUUGGUGAGUCAAUGGCAUUAGGGCGGACCUUCCAGGAAUCUUUCCAGAAAGCUGUUCGUUCAUUGGAGACUGGCUUUGCAGGGUGGGGUUGUGCGCCCAUCAAGGAACUUGACUGGGACUGGGAAAAGAUAAAAUAUAGCUUACGUGUACCUAAUCCAGAUCGUAUCCAUGCUGUUUAUGCUGCUUUCAAAAAAGGCAUGAGGGUUGAAGACAUUCAUGAAAUUAGUUUUAUUGAUAAAUGGUUCCUUACAGAGCUCAAGGAGCUAGUUGAUGUUGAGCAGUUCCUUAUUUCAAAGAACUUAGACCAGCUCUCAAAAGAUGACUUCUAUCAAGUGAAGAGGAGGGGUUUUAGUGACAAGCAGAUUGCAUUUGCGACAUCUUCGUCAGAAAGUGAUGUGAGAGCGAGGCGUUCUGCAUUAGGAGUCACUCCAACAUACAAGCGUGUUGAUACCUGUGCCGCUGAGUUUGAAGCCAACACCCCGUAUAUGUACUCUUCAUAUGAGUAUGAAUGUGAGUCAGCUCCAACUAAUCGGAAGAAAGUCUUAAUAUUGGGUGGUGGACCCAAUAGGAUAGGGCAGGGUAUUGAGUUUGAUUACUGCUGUUGCCAUGCCUCAUUUGCGCUCCGAGAGGCCGGAUAUGAGACUAUAAUGAUGAACUCCAAUCCGGAGACUGUCUCAACUGACUAUGAUACCAGCGACCGGCUGUACUUUGAACCAUUGACAGUUGAGGAUGUAACAAAUGUCAUUGAUUUGGAGCGCCCAGAUGGUAUAAUUGUGCAGUACGGAGGGCAAACUCCUCUAAAGCUCGCCCUUCCGAUACAACGCCAUCUAGAGGAGAAGAAGCUGCGGUCUGCUUCAGGCACAGGAUUUGUGAAGAUAUGGGGAACGUCACCCGAUUCUAUUGAUGCCGCAGAGGACAGAAAAAGAUUUAACGCAAUUCUUGAAGAGCUUGGGAUUGAGCAACCUAAAGGAGGGAUAGCAAGAAGUGAGUCUGAUGCGUUGUCAAUUGCUUCAGAAGUAGGCUACCCUGUUGUUGUCCGGCCCUCAUAUGUUCUUGGUGGACGAGCAAUGGAGAUUGUGUACAAUGAUGAAAAAUUGAUAAAGUACCUUGCGACUGCAGUGCAAGUAGAUCCAGAACGGCCUGUCCUGGUGGAUAAAUAUCUGAAUGAUGCAAUUGAAAUUGAUAUUGAUGCAUUGGCAGACUCAGUUGGGAAUGUUGUGAUCGGUGGAAUUAUGGAGCAUAUUGAGCAGGCUGGUAUACAUUCUGGUGAUUCUGCAUGUUCUCUUCCCACUAGAACGGUCUCAACCAAGUGCUUGGAUAUUAUUCGGUCAUGGACCACAAAGCUUGCAAAGCGUCUCAAUGUCUGUGGGCUCAUGAACUGCCAGUACGCUAUCACUCCUACUGGUGAGGUGUACCUUCUUGAGGCAAAUCCACGAGCUUCACGCACAGUCCCUUUUGUCUCAAAAGCAAUUGGCCACCCGUUGGCUAAAUAUGCAUCUCUGAUCAUGUCUGGAGUGACCUUGCCAGAGCUUGGGUUUACGAAAGAAGUGAUUCCUAAGCAUGUUUCUGUCAAGGAGGCUGUUCUUCCAUUUGAGAAAUUCCAAGGGUGUGACAUUCUUCUUGGACCAGAGAUGCGCAGCACUGGAGAGGUUAUGGGCAUUGACUAUGAGUUUUCUGGCGCGUUUGCAAAGGCUCAGAUUGCCGCUGGACAGAUACUCCCUGUAAGUGGCACUGUGUUUGUUAGCCUAAACGACUUGACGAAACGCCACCUUGCUGAAAUUGGGCGUGGGUUCCGUGAACUUGGGUUCAACAUCAUUGCAACAUCUGGAACAGCCAAAGUACUUCAGCUUGAGGGCAUCCCAGUGGAGCCAGUUCUGAAGAUACACGAGGGGCGACCAAAUGCCAGAGAUAUGCUCAAGAAUGGUCAGAUACAGGUGAUGGUGAUAACAAGCUCAGGCGAUGACCUUGACUCGAGAGAUGGCCUCCAGCUGCGUAGGCUAGCUCUGGCCUACAAGGUGCCCAUAAUCACAACUGUGGAUGGUGCACGGGCUACCAUGGACGCCAUCAAGAGUAUGAAGAACAAGUCAAUUGAGAUUCUUGCAUUGCAAGACUAUUUCCAGCCUGCCGAUGCACCACAGAAGCUGCCCGCCGCACAAGUUGCCCCUUAG